rnacentral:rRNA from 1 species
UAGGGAAUCUUCGGCAAUGGGGGCAACCCUGACCGAGCAACGCCGCGUGAGUGAAGAAGGCUUUCGGAUCGUAAAGCUCUGUUGUAAGAGAAGAACGUGUGUGAGAGUGGAAAGUUCACACAGUGACGGUAACUUACCAGAAAGGGACGGCUAACUACGUGCCAGCAGCCGCGGUAAUCCGUAGGUCCCGAGCGUUGUCGGGAUUUAUUGGGCGUAAAGCGAGCGCAGGCGGUUUAAUAAGUCUGAAGUUAAAGGCAGUGGCUUAACCGGUGUUCGCUUUUGAAACUGGUAAGCUUGAGUGCAGAAGGGGGGAGUGGAAUUCCAGGUGUAGCGGUGAAAUGCGUAGAUAUAUGGAGGAACACCGGUGGCGAAAGCGGCUCUCUGGUCUGUGACUGACGCUGAGGCUCGAAAGCGUGGGGAGCAAACAGG